rnacentral:rRNA from 1 species
GUUAUUCGGAAUCACUGGGCUUAAAGGGCGCGUAGGCGGCCUGACAAGUGGAAGGUGAAAUCCCUCGGCUUAACCGAGGAACUGCCUUCCAAACUGUUUGGCUUGAGUCCGGGAGAGGCGAGUGGAAUUCCCAGUGUAGCGGUGAAAUGCGUAGAUAUCUGGAGGAACACCGGUGGCGAAGGCGGCAUCCUGGACCGGCAUUGACGCUGAGGCGCGAAAGCCAGGGGAGCAAACGGG